CCAAACGAGCGUCCUAUAAUGCAGUCGAGCGACAGAUAAGGAGCUUGCUCCUUUGACGUUAGCGGCGGACGGGUGAGUAACACGUGGGUAACCUACCUAUAAGACUGGGAUAACUUCGGGAAACCGGAGCUAAUACCGGAUAACAUUUGGAACCGCAUGGUUCUAAAGUGAAAGAUGGUUUUGCUAUCACUUAUAGAUGGACCCGCGCCGUAUUAGCUAGUUGGUAAGGUAACGGCUUACCAAGGCAACGAUACGUAGCCGACCUGAGAGGGUGAUCGGCCACACUGGAACUGAGACACGGUCCAGACUCCUACGGGAGGCAGCAGUAGGGAAUCUUCCGCAAUGGGCGAAAGCCUGACGGAGCAACGCCGCGUGAGUGAUGAAGGGUUUCGGCUCGUAAAACUCUGUUAUUAGGGAAGAACAAAUGUGUAAGUAACUGUGCACAUCUUGACGGUACCUAAUCAGAAAGCCACGGCUAACUACGUGCCAGCAGCCGCGGUAAUACGUAGGUGGCAAGCGUUAUCCGGAAUUAUUGGGCGUAAAGCGCGCGUAGGCGGUUUCUUAAGUCUGAUGUGAAAGCCCACGGCUCAACCGUGGAGGGUCAUUGGAAACUGGGAAACUUGAGUGCAGAAGAGGAAAGUGGAAUUCCAUGUGUAGCGGUGAAAUGCGCAGAGAUAUGGAGGAACACCAGUGGCGAAGGCGACUUUCUGGUCUGUAACUGACGCUGAUGUGCGAAAGCGUGGGGAUCAAACAGGAUUAGAUACCCUGGUAGUCCACGCCGUAAACGAUGAGUGCUAAGUGUUAGGGGGGUUUCCGCCCCUUAGUGCUGCAGCUAACGCAUUAAGCACUCCGCCUGGGGGAGUACGACCGCAAGGUUGAAACUCAAAGGAAUUGACGGGGACCSGCACAAGCGGUGGAGCAUGUGGUUUAAUUCGAAGCAACGCGAAGAACCCUUACCMAAUCUUGACAUCCUUUGAAAACUCUAAGAAGAAUAGAGCCUUCCCCCUUUCGGGGGGGRACAAAGGUGACARGUGRUGCAUUGGAUUGUCGUCCMAGCUUCGUGUCGUGGAGAUGUUGGGGRUWAAGUCCCGCAACGAGCGCARCMCYUAAGCUWAGUUGCMAUYMYWAAGUUGGGCACUCUAGGUUGACUGCCGGUGACAAAACCGGAGGAAGGUGGGGAUGACGUCAAAUCAUCAUGCCCCUUAUGAUUUGGGCUACACACGUGCUACAAUGGACAAUACAAAGGGCAGCUAAACCGCGAGGUCAUGCAAAUCC
rnacentral:rRNA from 1 species